AUGUCCCUUCCCCGGUGCUGGAGUCCCACGGCGGAGCCCGCUCACUGCAGCCGGGGCACCCGCAGUCCCUUCAUUUGCGCUACAGAGAUGUCCCCUAGGCUCGACCGCCCCAUAGACACCCCUGGAGCGGGCAGGGGGUUCGGGCUGUCCGUCGGCCGGACGCGGGCUGUGGCUCUGCCCCUCCUUCCAUCCGGCUCUCGAUCCUCUGGCCGGCCGGCCCUCCCCUUCCCCAACGCAACGGGGCCGGGGCGGGGGGUGGCGGUAGGCAGGGCUGGGGGUCACUCCCCUGGCUGGAGCCGCUUCCUGGGGACCCCUCGCUGGCAGCGGGGUUCGGUCCCGGCCGCCUGCCCGCAGCACUGCCCAGGAGGUUUAUUUUCAGCCGGGCUGGGACGCGCGCCCAAGGGGCCGGGCUCCCAUCAAUGUCCCGCUUUCUCCCUUGUUCGGCGGUCGCCGGCAGCUGGGAGCCCGGACCCCCGCUCCCAUUGCCAUGGAAACUCGCCCCGGCCUUGGGAAACGCUCCCAGGCCUCAGUUUCUCCCCCAGGAAGCAGGGAGGGAGGGAGGCAGAAGAGACAUCCGGCUCUCUGCUCCCCAUCCGAGGCCACAGGCAUGAUGCCAGGGCGAUGGGCACUGCGGGGGGAGGUUCUGGCUCGGCAAACAUAUCCGCUGCCCAGCUGCCAGCCCCCACGGGGCUCUGCUGUGGGGCGCCACCAGCACCCUGGGGCUCGCUCCCCUUCCCUGGUGGGGUUGGCACCCAACCCCAGCAGUGGUGUCCGCCCGCGGGCUCCCCAGGGAGAACAGCUGGUCAUGCCGGCAGCCACAGCGUGAGAGAGGAAAGACCCUCAGCAACCUCUUGCCGCAGCCCCCACCUGCCUGGCCCCCCAAACCGUGGCCAUUGCUGUGCCACGGGGGCAGCUAAGAGGGAGUUAAGUGUAUCUUCAAGAGGAGUCUCCACUGGGGCUUCCACUGCUACUAGUAUCCCAGCUGGCACCCGGCAGCAGAAGCACGGGGCACAAGAAGCCCAUUGA
rnacentral:lncRNA from 1 species